rnacentral:rRNA from 1 species
AUUGAACGCUGGCGGCAGGCCUAACACAUGCAAGUCGAGCGGAGCGGCGGACGGGUGAGUAAUGCCUAGGAAUCUGCCUGGUAGUGGGGGAUAACGUCCGGAAACGGGCGCUAAUACCGCAUACUAUCAGAUUAGCCUAGGUCGGAUUAGCUAGUUGGUGGGGGAAAGGCCUACCAAGGCGACGAUCCGGAACUGGUCUGAGUGGGAGAUCAGGCACACUGGAGCUGAGACACUGGCCAGACUCCUACGGGAGGCAGGAGUGGGGAAUUUUUGGACAUGGGCGAAAGCCUGGUCCAUCCCAGCCCGGUUUGAUAAGAAAGGCUUCGGGUUGUAAAGUACUUUUGGUAGGGAGGCGUUACCUACAGAAUAAGCACCGGCUAACUACGUGCCAGCCGCCGCGGUAAUAC